rnacentral:rRNA from 1 species
AUUGAACGCUGGCGGCAUGCUUUACACAUGCAAGUCGAACGGCAGCGCGGGCUUCGGCCUGGCGGCGAGUGGCGAACGGGUGAGUAAUGCAUCGGAACGUGCCCAGUAGUGGGGGAUAGCCCGGCGAAAGCCGGAUUAAUACCGCAUACGACCUGAGGGUGAAAGCGGGGGACCGUAAGGCCUCGCGCUAUUGGAGCGGCCGAUGUCGGAUUAGCUAGUUGGUGGGGUAAAGGCUUACCAAGGCGACGAUCCGUAGCUGGUCUGAGAGGACGACCAGCCACACUGGGACUGAGACACGGCCCAGACUCCUACGGGAGGCAGCAGUGGGGAAUUUUGGACAAUGGGGGCAACCCUGAUCCAGCCAUGCCGCGUGCGGGAAGAAGGCCUUCGGGUUGUAAACCGCUUUUGUUCGGGAAGAAAUCCUCUGGGCUAAUACCCCGGGGGGAUGACGGUACCGGAAGAAUAAGCACCGGCUAACUACGU